rnacentral:rRNA from 1 species
GGGGAAUAUUGGACAAUGGGGGAAACCCUGAUCCAGCAAUGCCGCGUGAAUGAAGAAGGCCCUAGGGUUGUAAAGUUCUUUCACCUGUGAAGAUAAUGACGGUAGCAGGAGAAGAAGCCCCGGCUAACUCCGUGCCAGCAGCCGCGGUAAGACGGAGGGGGCUAGCGUUGUUCGGAAUGACUGGGCGUAAAGGGCGCGUAGGCGGUAUUUUAAGUGAGGCGUGAAAGCCCUGGGCUUAACCCAGGAGGUGCGUUUCAUACUGAAAGACUUGAGUACGAGAGAGGAAAGUGGAAUUUCUAGUGUAGAGGUGAAAUUCGUAGAUAUUAGAAAGAACACCAGUGGCGAAGGCGGCUUUCUGGCUCGUAACUGACGCUGAGGCGCGAAAGCGUGGGGAGCAAACAGGA